rnacentral:rRNA from 1 species
GUCUAUGGCCAUGCCACCCUGAACAGCUUGAUCUUGUCUGAUAUCAGAAGCUAAGCAGGGUCAGUCCUGGUUAGUACUUGGAUGAAAGACCACCUAGGAAGACCAGGUGCUGUAGGCG